GGUAUGUGAAUCAACGGUGUUACCAUAGGUUUGAUUUAAAUACUGGUAUGUAUUUGCACCAUUUCUUCAGAUCUAAUUCCCUAUCAAUUAAAUUUCACUUAAUUUCAUUCAUAUGUGAUAUUCUAUAAUCUCUUCUAAAUCUUGUUCUAAAUUAUGGAGCUUCAUUCUAACAGUUGAAGAUGAAGUUUAUUCAUUCAGCAGAAAUCUCUAUGAUGCAAUUUGAUUGGUCUCUUGUCAGAGUUUAUUUUUCUUUUCCUCGACCGUGAUUUCCUUGAUUAAUUGAGUCUAGAAUGAAAAUGGUAAUGGAUGCAUAUGUAAGUGUUGCACCUUCAGGUUGGUAAUGGAUGCAUAUGCAGGUGUUGGUCCUUCAUGUCAUUCUAUCACAUUACCAUUGGAUUCAUGUGUGUUUAUUUUUGAAAUGGUAAUUGAUGUAUUUGUAGAUAAGAGGAAGACAAGAAAAAUCAUUGCUGCAAACAUCUCCAAGUUUUACAUUUGUAACACUUUUAUAUUAAUUUCAUUUUUAAAUCAUGCAAAUUGUAAAUGUUAUUUUAUAAUAUUAGGCUAGUGAAAGUUUUACUUUCAUUCA